rnacentral:RNase_P_RNA from 1 species
GCGGCAGCCGGAUGGUCCGGCUGCUGAGGAAAGUCCGAGCACGGCAGGACACGCUGGUGGGUAACGCCCACCCGAUCGGGGACGGAGCAAUUCGGAGCCCGGUCGAGGGAAAGUGCCACAGAGAUUGAACCGCCGAUGGCCCUCGCGAAAGCGGGGGAUCAGGUAAGGGUGAAAAGGUGCGGUAAGAGCGCACCGGCCGGGCCGUGAGGUCCGGCGCAUGGCAAACCCCAGCGCGUGCAAGGUCACGCAGCUUUCGCUCCCGCAAGGGAGGUGCCCGGUUCGGGCAUGAGCUUGCUCCGGAAGCGGGUGGACCGCUCGAGCUUCGCGGCAACGCGGGGCCCAGAGAAAUGGUCGCCACGGUUGGAAGGUGCGCUGGGCUCCCGUCAAGGUUUCGAGCGCAAACCGCCAAACGGACAGAACUCGGCUUAACGCCGCGUCGAGCC